rnacentral:rRNA from 1 species
UACGUAGGGUGCAAGCGUUGUCCGGAAUUACUGGGCGUAAAGGGCUCGUAGGCGGCCAACUAAGUCAGACGUGAAAUCCCUCGGCUUAACCGGGGAACUGCGUCUGAUACUGGAUGGCUUGAGUUUGGGAGAGGGAUGCGGAAUUCCAGGUGUAGCGGUGAAAUGCGUAGAUAUCUGGAGGAACACCGGUGGCGAAGGCGGCAUCCUGGACCAACACUGACGCUGAGGAGCGAAAGCCAGGGGAGCAAACAGGG